ensembl:lncRNA
AUUUAUUUCACUCCUCUCCACAGCAAUAUAUGCCGCAGAUGACCGUUUGCGUCGUGUGAAGAUACUGUGGCUUCUAUCACAAGGCAGUAUUAUGUCUCGGAGGUGUGGAUGGUGGUUUAUCUUCUCCAGAGGUUUGUCUGGUGAAAUUGCAUGUGAUGUUUAGCAGUAGAGCCAUUUCGCUGUUCGGCAGCUGCCGCGAUGGAAAGUGCAAACGCAGAGCAACAGCGACCUCGUUGGCGCCGGUGGAGGAGGAGGACUCUGCGGGUUUCCCGUAGGCUGCUCUGCUGCUCAUGUUGGCGCGGUGAGGAGAGGGAUCCUCUGCAGCAGCAGGAAAGGAAGAUCAAUGGGGGCUCUCGGCAUCCACACUUGGAUCAGCGGGGAUCAGGUGAGAGGGAGGCUAUCCAGAUUACGGUAGAGGACCUGGGGAUAGUUAACACCGGCUUCAGCCUGUGCGAGGAGGACACCCCGACCUCGGGCAACAGCACGGCCCGCUCAGCUAGCUCCGUGUCCGCCUGCCUGAGGGCUCUGAAAAAGAAACGACUGGGGCCUCUGUUUUCACUCCCUAUGGACAUGCAGGGAAAACUGGCCAUCACUUCUACCAGUGGAGAAGGUGGUGAUGAAGAGGACGACGACCCGCUGGUGUUUGAGAGUGGCACUGAUGUCACGCCAGCUCCUGGAAGCCUCCUAUCACCGCCCGUCAUUAAUCUGAUCCCACCCACUCCAUCCGAUGUCGUUGACGACGAUCAGUUCUUUGACGUUAAUUUGGAAGACAUUGUGGCAAACGAUGCUGUCAGCGGUGGAAGCUCUGGUGCUGGUGACCACGAGCGCUACGAGGAAUCGAUGAAGGGUGCCGAGGCAAAGGUGUCAACCGUGGAAUUUCCACCGGCAGAGAGUAAGGUCAGUGCUGAUGAUUCAGCUGGGCUUGAAGAGGCCCCACGUGACGGGUCUGGAGAAGAAGAAGAGGCAGAGACAACCAAAGAUGGGGACGAGGAGAAAACAAAGCCAAGGCUCUUACGUUGUGCGUACCAGGUGGCUCCUCUCCCUAAGUACACUCAGAAAAAUGAACUGAGCAACACAGAUGUGAACUGCUCCGACAUGCCGAAAGCUGAACUCUGCCUGCUUCCUGCCAACAUGGACACAUUUACUCACCAAAGGAGGCUCAUAACGCGCUCCUGCAGUCUUGAAGACACACCGACCAGGAGCGCCACUUUCCACGCUUUGACCCAGACCACAGACCACCAGGAAGAUGAGAGGUCGCUCCAACAGCGCCGCAUAACCGUUGCAUCAUAUAUGCCUCAGUCUCAGGAUCAGAAUGGAAACUUCCCUGAGAAGGACGUCGACAGGCAAGUGGCCAAAUGUCUUGGGGAACUGAGCACAGAUGAAGUCUGCCGCUGGUUUACCAAUAUCGGACUGCAGAAAUGUCUUCCUUUCAUCCGAGAUGUAAACCUGUGUGGAGCAGACGUAGCAUCGGUGGAUGUGAACACUCUGGACGUCCUGCACAUCACCACCCUGGAGGAGAGGGAGAAGCUGCUGUCUGCCGUUUAUAAGGAGCUGCACCCUUCCAGCCCAAUCACCCAGAGACUCGACUCUCUGCUCGAUUCGUUGGGCCCGAACAGUGUGGAGACAUUCACCGCGACAUUAGUGUCAAUGAGCAAAUCUAAGUCCUCUCCACAUGUGAGCUGCCUGAGCAUGAAUCGGCGUUCCCUAAAGCGCAGAAACACCAGCCAAACCCCCUUGGCACAGAGGAAUUCUCAGCUGAUCGAGAUAGCAAUUAAUGCAUCAGAGCGGAUAGUUCAUCUCCGAACCCCAAAGGAAACAACGGUGGGGAAAAUCAUGGAUUCAUGCAUCAAAAUGUUGGGAAUGACAGAAGACAGGAGCCUUUUCAUACUGAGAGAAAAGCAAGGUUCAUCGGAAGACCUCCCCCCAGAUCAGCUGAUCGCCAGCCUACUGACAUCGACAUCAGAGGACAGGCAGUUGGAGCUGCACUUGUGUAAAACGGACGGGUCAUCUGGAACCAUAGCAAAACAAAAUCCAGGAGUCCACAGCUCUAAUGAGAAUAACAACAUCAACAAAAAUGCCCUGGUGAACCGGCCAGCCAAAGAAGAGAGGAUCAAAGAACUAAACCAGCAGGUGGAAUCGCUCCAAAAUGUCAUCCUUCAGGUCCAGGAGCUCCACCACGGCCUGGUGGCAUUUUGCUCAGAGAUAAAGAACAUGGAUGGAGACGUGGAUGUGGACAGGCUUAGCUCCGCUGAGCUGAAGGAGAGGUCGCAGUUGGUUAAAAGCCGCCUGAAUGACAAGAGGCGGAGCCUGCAGACCCUCAGAGACAACAUUAACGACUCCACUGCUCACAAAAAGAAACAGUUGGACGUACGUCUCUUGGAAAAGAUGAAACUGAACUGCCAGGUGUUUAAGGAGGAAAUUUCCAUGGUACAUCUCAAUCGGCAGAUGGCACACCUCCAAAAUGCUUUGCAAGAAAGCUACGUUAAGGAGAAAGUUCAGAGAAAAAGUUUGGCCAUUGGUAGCCUGAGCCAGCUGGUGUCCCCGCAGUCUCCUGCCAUGCUGCUGGUUGUGCAGGAGAACCGAAACCCCGAUGGCCAGUACGGCUUCUCGUGUUGCUACAGGGAAGGCAGCGGACUACUGGUGGUCAAGGUGGAAAACUGCCAACUCUGUGUUGACGACAGGCUGGUGGAGGUGAAUGGUGUGCCGGUGGUUAACUCUACACAGGAAGAGCUGACCACCAUCUUACUGGAGGGACCCAGCGCCAAUAUUGUUGUCCUUCGCCAGCCCCCGCUCCCCCCCACCUCCGUAGUCCUGCAGCGCAUCAUCACCUCUGAUCCCGAGCAACAGCUCUCUCUUGCCGACUUAGACCGGGGUGUGGUUCCAGUUGAAACAACUCCUCGACGGAAGGUGGUGGCCAUCUGAUGAUACGACAGAGAGAGAAAAAGACCAGCGCAGAGACUUGAGGGUUAAUGAUAUCUGACUGUGGAGCCAUGCAGCGAAAUGCCCUCUUUUGUUAGUUAUUUAACUCUAAAUAUAAAUAUAUGUUAUUGAAAAUGUCAAUGUGUUGAAAUGAUAGACGUUUAGUUAGGAACAUCCAAUAGUAAUAUAGCUGUGUUGUUAUGUGACGUUUUCCUCGACUAAGCCUCAACACAUGUACACAGCGUUGUGCUUGGCAGAUAGAACAGUUAUAUUUGAUCCAUAUUGUUGCAAUGUAUACGGAGAACCAUGCCUGUGAAAAAAACUUAUUUCCAGAAAAACACAUGAAACCGAACCACAUUGACUUCUUUCUAUUUGCAUCUCCUCUUGUGCUACAUCAUAUUUUGUGCCAUGAGGGAAAAUGAAUAGUACAGGAAAGACAAGGAGGCAGAGCCUGAUAAGGACAAUGCAUGCUUCAUCUUGUACAACUAUAAUUGAAAAUAUGUGAAUCCUGUCUAUAGUUACUGUAACAUAUCGUGUAAAGAUACAUCCAAUAGCUUUGUAUCCUGUUUCUCUUAUUAGAAUAGAGACUUGUACGGCUACAACAGUAUUCGGAGCAAAAACAUGAGUCACGUCCCUUUUUUUGGAUGUUGUAAUGUAAUCCACUGUGCUGCAGGAAUAAACCCUUGGGCCCGGAAAUG